rnacentral:lncRNA from 1 species
CGCUGUUGAGGAAGCUGGGGGCCAAGUCACGGUCACUGCGGAGUAGGUCUGCCAUGUGCCUCUGCAGCAGGGUGGAGGGACAUGGCUUCUGCAGGCUGGGGAGGCUGGCAUCCUCGGGCUUGGUUUUCAGCAAGUGUGGGAGCCGUGUGUAUCUGUACCCGAAGCCACAGCCCCGCCACAGCCUGACGAGGAUCCAGUUGGUCUGUGCCCAGGGCCGCUGUUCGUAGG